rnacentral:rRNA from 1 species
UACGUAGGGGGCUAGCGUUGUCCGGAUUUAUUGGGCGUAAAGAGCGUGUAGGCGGCCAGGUAGGUCCGGUGUGAAAACUCGAGGCUCAACCUCGAGAGGUCGCCGGAAACCAUUUGGCUAGAGUCCGGAAGAGGAGAGUGGAAUUCCUGGUGUAGCGGUGAAAUGCGCAGAUAUCGGGAGGAACACCGGUAGCGAAGGCGGCUCGCUGGGCUAUUCCUGACGCUGAGACGCGAAAGCUAGGGGAGCGAACAGGAUUAGAAACCCGAGUAGU